ACUUUCCCCCAAAUUAUCCCACCUAUAAAAACCAAAGCUCAGCCCACCCUCAAAAUUUACCCCCCUUCGUUUGCUGGAACAAAUUACCCCACAACAAAUUAACCCACUUCGUUCUCCACCGUUCUCAAUGAAGACGACGAUGUGAGCUUCUUCGUCAUCGCCGCUAGGGUUAUCGGAAUCGACGCCGCCCUCGUUGAUCUCUUCAUCGCCCUCCUCGUCAUCGCCGUCCUCUUCUUCGUCUCCCUCUUCUUCGCCGAUGGCGGGAAAGUUGAAGCCGUCCUCGCCCUUAUUAAAGCUGUCCUCAGCGGCGGACAAAAAUCCCCGUUGUCUCCCCCCUUUACCUAUCCACUUGAUUAGGGUUCCGAUUUCGGUCAGCCACGCGCUCAAGAUCUCCCUAUUUCCUCCUCAUUUGAUAGGGUUUGGGUUUUUAUUGGGGAUUUUGUCCUCAAUUUCGAUCAUCCACGGCUCGAAUUGAACCAGAGGCUUGGAGUUUCUGAUUCUGGUCGAUAUUAGGAGCAGGGAUGGAAGUUCAUGGAGAAGGGGAUCACCAAGCUGAAGAACAUCUUGGAGGGGUUGCCGGAGCCUCAGUUCAGCUCUGAGGAUUACACGAUGCUCUACAUGUUUAGCUUGCUCAGUAUCUUUCCAAGCACAAAGUUUUCUGGCUCUUGUGCUGACAGAGAUUGUACCUUAUUGUACGGAAAUAGGCUUUACAGCGAGAAGCUUACUGAAAUGAAUUAUUUGUUUAUCAGUGUUUAUUUCUUUGAUUUUCUGUUCAAAUAUGGAAUGAAUGAAUGUAGAGGCAUCAGUUAACAGUGGAAAAGCUGUUGAUGAAGUCGAGAGGACACGGGCAGCAAUGUCUGCUGGUGCAUAUGCUGGCUGUCCCAUGGCGUCACAACAGUACAGCAUGGAACUACUCCGUCCAGGUUCGGCAGUAUGAUGAGAUUUGAUGAUUGUAAAGCUAGAUCUCAUUUUCCGGAGAAGCAUAUUUCAAGGAACUAUCUAAGUUUAUGAAAGGCGAGUUUCCCCAGCGAGAGUAUUUUGUCAGGAUGAUGAUUAGAAUGAUUUUCCAGGGAACAUCACUAGUCUGGUCCAAGGAGGGUUAUCCCUCUCCAGAUAUGGCCAAUCAAUCGCAGUAAAGAGCUCCAAUGUCCAAAAGAGCUCCCAGAACUCUGAUGUCACCUUGGACGCCUUUUUCGAUAUUGUGUGCUGCAAUUUCAAUCCAAAAGUAUCUUACCUCGAUGAAUUUGGUUAACAUUCAUUGAGAAGAAUUCGAGAAGAAACAAAACUAGAUUGGCCUGGUGAAAAAAUUGGGGCAAGUAAUCGGGGACAAACUGUUGGUAUCUACAUUCUACAAUAAGGAUACUUCAGCACCAGGUCAUAUUCUUCUGUUAUUAUAAUAUAAACUGUUACGGCUGUUGUUUUUGUCUCGCAAUACAAAGAUCAAUGAUUGAAUGGUUUACCUCUAUCUCCUCAAGUUGCUUGUCAGGUUCAAUGAGUCUAGACCGUCUGUCUGCUUUGGAGCCUACUCAGCCUAUUUAGCUGUUCACGUCCUUGCUGCCCUCAACUCCUUAGAUUGUAACCAGAGGAAUUGUUGAUCCUGCUGAGGAAUUUUGGGAAGACAAAAGGAAUCCAGUGAUCUACUGAAAUCCUAAAAACUGGUCAACGAUUGCAGGGUUAGGGUUUCCAAGCUUUCGAAAUUCAUUCAAUUUCUGGCCUCUUUCAGUUUCCAAGGUUUCGAAGUUCAUCCAGUUUCUUGCCUCUUUCAAUGAUUUAUUGCUUUCUUGCAACGGUUAUGGUCUCGAAUCAAUUCAUGUCAUUACUUGCCUUUUUCAGUAUUUACUUCACUCUUCUUUAUGAUUUUUUUGUGUGGAGAAGUCUUCUUUGUGAUUCUUGGGCGAUGCUGAUCAUCUCCUAAUCCCGAGAUCGAGGUUCAAAGGCGCGGUUGAGUUCAAGGAGACAGGCGAUUCUUGCAAUGGGCGUGGGAGAGAUCAGAAAGAAGGUACACUAUAUCUUAUUAAAUGGUCCUUCUGGUAAAUGGUUCUUCAGAUGUAUGUGGCUAAGGACCAUUGUCACCAAAUGGGUGAAAACGGGAGAGAGAGAUGGAAUCUCUCGCUCGACGCCUCCGACUUUCCCCGAUCUCUUAUCCCU